GCACAUUUGUUCUUGUAAAAUAUUUCUUAUUUACAGGUCAAGGUUGCUCACUUCGUAAGGUUCCGGAUGACGACUUGUAUCACACUCAGUAUUGUACCUGCUCUGAGGGAUUAGAAUGCGAAAAAUAUCCUUACAAUGAUUAUGGAAUUUGCCGGGAAUAUGGCGAAAAGAAAGAUCUGCCUCAGUGAAUUUAAAAAAAUAAGCAUUCGAUUUCACGAAUUAAACUUUUGUAAUCACACAAAAGGAAUGCAUUUUAUAACCAUUUAUUUUACAAAAUUGUCAAAACUCGCUGACAACAAGAUAGUAAUUGCUUUUCAAAGAAUCGACCACAAUAAAUAUUCUUGAUCAAUUAG